rfam:Glycine soja cultivar W05 scaffold5074_23, whole genome shotgun sequence.
UUAUAAAAUAAUGUUGAUUAUCAUGUGUCACGUUUUGAUUGGAAUGAUUGUCACAUAUCAGGUUCUACAAUGAAAAUGUAUUAUUGUCAACGUCCAAUCAAAAUGUGACAUGUGACAGUUAACAUUC